UACGAAGGUCCCAAGCGUUAUCCGGAUUUAUUGGGUUUAAAGGGUGCGUAGGCGGGUUGUUAAGUCAGUGGUGAAAGCUCCGAGCCCAACUCGGAAACUGCCAUUGAUACUGAUGAUCUUGAGUACAUUUGAGGUGGGCGGAAUGUGUCAUGUAGCGGUGAAAUGCUUAGAGAUGACACAGAACACCGAUUGCGAAGGCAGCUCACUAAACUGUAACUGACGCUGAGGCACGAAAGCGUGGGGAGCAAACAGG
rnacentral:rRNA from 1 species